rnacentral:sRNA from 1 species
GAUGACGCUUUUUAACGACUCACACGCUUCGACACAGUACGGCCGGGUCCCGAAAGGGUGCCGUAUGGGAAGUGUGGACGCAUAAC